rnacentral:rRNA from 1 species
GACGAACGCUGGCGGCGUGCCUAAUACAUGCAAGUCGAACGCAGUGGGGACGGGUGAGUAACACGUGGGUAACCUCCCAUCAGAGGGGAUAACACUUGGAAACAGGCGCUAAACUGAUACUGAUGGAUGGACCGGGGGUGCAUUAGCUAGUUGGGGAGGGAACGGCGCACCAAGGCCACGAUGCAUAGCCGACCUGAGAGGAUGAUCGGCCACACUGGUACUGAGACACGGCCCAGACUCCGACGGGAGGCAGCAGUAGGGAAUCUUCGGCAAUGGGCGAAAGUCUGACCGAGCAACGCCGCGUAAGUGAAGAAGGGUUUCGGAUCGUAAAACUCUGUUGUUAGAGAAGCGGUAUCUAACCAGAAAGCCACGGCUAACUACGUGCCAGCCGCCGCGGUAAUUC